CCCUUAGAUGUUCUGGGCCGCACGCGCGCUACACUGAUGCAUUCAACGAGUCUAAAACCUGCUCUGAUAGGGGUGGGUAAUCUUUUGAAUGUGCAUCGUGAUUGGGAUAGAUGAUUGCAAUUUUUCAUCUUCAACGAGGAAUGCCUAGUAAACGCAAGCCAUCAGCUUGCAUUGAUUACGUCCCUGCCCUUUGUACACACCGCCCGUCGCUCCUACCGAUUGAAUGAUCCGAUGAAUAUCAUAGACUGAGAGUAUAAGCAGGUUCGCCUGUCUUUGCUUCUCGGGAAGUGAAGUAAAUCUUAUCAUUUAGAGGAAGGAGAAGUCGUAACA
rnacentral:rRNA from 1 species